UGGGAUAAGCCUGGGAAACUGGGUCUAAUACCGGAUAGGAGCGUCCACAUGGUGGGUGUUGGAAAGAUUUAUCGGUUUUGGAUGGACUCGCGGCCUAUCAGCUUGUUGGUGAGGUAAUGGCUCACCAAGGCGACGACGGGUAGCCGGCCUGAGAGGGUGACCGGCCACACUGGGACUGAGACACGGCCCAGACUCCUACGGGAGGCAGCAGUGGGGAAUAUUGCACAAUGGGCGCAAGCCUGAUGCAGCGACGCCGCGUGAGGGAUGACGGCCUUCGGGUUGUAAACCUCUUUCAGUAGGGAAGAAGCGAAAGUGACGGUACCUGCAGAAGAAGCACCGGCUAACUACGUGCCAGCAGCCGCGGUAAUACGUAGGGUGCGAGCGUUAUCCGGAAUUAUUGGGCGUAAAGAGCUCGUAGGCGGUUUGUCGCGUCUGUCGUGAAAGUCCGGGGCUUAACCCCGGAUCUGCGGUGGGUACGGGCAGACUAGAGUGCAGUAGGGGAGACUGGAAUUCCUGGUGUAGCGGUGGAAUGCGCAGAUAUCAGGAGGAACACCGAUGGCGAAGGCAGGUCUCUGGGCUGUAACUGACGCUGAGGAGCGAAAGCAUGGGGAGCGAACAGGAUUAGAUACCCUGGUAGUCCAUGCCGUAAACGUUGGGCACUAGGUGUGGGGACCAUUCCACGGUUUCCGCGCCGCAGCUAACGCAUUAAGUGCCCCGCCUGGGGAGUACGGCCGCAAGGCUAAAACUCAAAGGAAUUGACGGGGGCCCGCACAAGCGGCGGAGCAUGCGGAUUAAUUCGAUGCAACGCGAAGAACCUUACCAAGGCUUGACAUGUUCUCGAUCGCCGUAGAGAUACGGUUUCCCCUUUGGGGCGGGUUCACAGGUGGUGCAUGG
rnacentral:rRNA from 2 species